ensembl:snRNA U6 U6 spliceosomal RNA
GCGCUGGCUUUGGCAGCACAUAUCUUAAAACUGGAAUGAUAUAGAGAAAAUUAGCAUGGCCCUGUACAAGGGUAAUACACAAAUUCGUGGUACACAAAUUUUUGUU